UCCUGCGGCGUCUUUUUCUCCGUUGGCGAAUUCGGGGAGGGAGAGGGCUGUAAGUAGGAGCGCGGGGGAGCGCAGGAGCGCGGGGAAGUAUAGAAUCGUUUCCCUUUCUAAAGCUCGCGUUUACUAUUCAGAUAGGAUUUCUCUUCUGAGGGUACCAGUGUGAAGGUAAUCAAAAUCUGUAAAGGAUGAUUACUGGGUUUCUCUGACCCACUGGGGUUGGAGUAUGCUUUGGGAUCCGUCAUAGAGCACGUGCUUCGCUUGCUCAGGAUCACAGGUGCAAUCCCUGGCGUCGAAUACAGCUGCCAGUAAGUGCGAGGGCAAUACUGAGCGAGAGGGACCAGCUGUCUAACUUGGUACAAGGCAGCAUCAUACCGUUAUGAAAGGAAAAUGCGACGUUGGUGGUCUUUCGAGGAUGAGUGUGAUGUUCCUAUAUAUUAGUGUAUAUAUGAAACCAGGGCCAUAGCCAGCCUUCCUCACUAGAUGGCGCUACCAUGUUCCAGACUAGAACUCACGGACAUCCAAUGAAGCUGAAUGUUAGAAGAUUCAGGAGAGACAAAUAAAAUGCUUCUUCGUGCAGUGCACAGUUAAACUAUGGAAUUUGCUCCCACAAGAGGCAGUGAUGGCCACCAGCUUGGAUGGAUUUAAAAGAAGAUUAGACAAAUUCAUGGGAGGAUAAGACUGUCAGUGACUACUAGCCAUGAUGGCUAUGCUCUUUCCACUGCAGUCAGAGGUGGUAUGCUUUUGAAUACCUGUUGCUGGAAACUGCAGGAGGGGAGAGUGCUGUUGUGCAUCGGUCCUGCUUGCGGGCUUCCCACAGGCAUCUGGUUUGUCACUGUGAGAAAAGGAUGCUGGCCUAGGUGGGUCAUUGGCCUGAUCCAACAGGCACUUACGUUCAGUUUAUACAAUAUAAGAUGGCAGUGUACAAGAAUAUAUACAAUGAAAUAUAAAACACCAUAAAAACAGUAAAACAUCAUUAAAAUGACUAGCUGGUCAGAAAAUGUAAACAGUUACAUAGCCCUGUAUACAUGAAAAGGUCGUCAAGAAACACCUGAAAAUCAAAAGCAAGGUUGUCUGCUCAAUCUCUGGUGGAAGAGUGUUCCACAGCAUGGGACUGGCAGCACUAAAUUGCCCUUGCCUGUGCUCAGGAGGGGGAAAUCUGUUGUGAAUUUGGCAGGGUGCUCUUUUUGAAAAUGGCUACAACUACAUUCACUUUUAGUAAGUCUUUUGCUGAGAUACAGUAGGACCCCACUUCUCAGUGCCCUGCUAAUAUGGUGCCACCGGGGUGAUCAACUGGAGGGGGGGCUGGAGCUCCCCGCUCUCCAGCUGAUCUCGCCAGAGGAGGGGAAGAUCAACUGUAGAGAGCUACUGCUGAUCUCCUCUUCUGGCACGAUCAGAUUCCCGCGUUUGAGCUGAUUGCGCCGGAGGAGGGGAAGAUCAGCUGUAGCGCUCUACAGCUGAUCUUCUCCUCUGGCGUGAUCAGCGGGUUAGGUUCCAGACCCCCGCGCUACAGCCAGGGCUGUGGAGUUGGAAUCGGAAGCAAUUUUGGGUGGAGUCGGAGUCGGUAGAAAUGUACUGACUCCGACUUCAAAAUAAAAUUAAUGUUUUAAUAUUAAUAUUAAUACAUUAAUAUUAAUACAUUAAUAUACAUUUGCCAUUUAUGAAGGAGUCAGAGUCGGACAGUAGAAAAAUAGAGGAGUCACAGUCGAAGGUUUGACAUACCGAUUCCACAGCCCUGGCUACAGCUGAUCCGCUUUUUGGCGGUUUUCGCUUUUUGGUGGUGGUCUGGAACCUAACCUGCCAUAUGAGUGGGGCCCUGCUGUAUUUCAAAAACUGCUAAAAAUAAUAAGCCAUUUAAUAUAGCGUAGUACAUUUUAAAUAUUAGUUAUAAGCAAUAUAAAAUGCAAGGAAUUUACAAUCACAAAUUCCAACUCCUUUUAUGAAAAGUAACCUGGAAAAAUGGUGGUCAAAGUGAUCUGUAAUCCUCUGUAAAUAUAGAUGCAAUUUUGCAUUGAUUGGUUGAUCAUAAUUUUAUAAAAUGCUUUACAAGUGCUUAGCUACGCAGAACAUAGUCUUUGUUCCUAUCUGUAUUUACCAUAUGAUGAUGAAUUGCUGACUUCUGACUACAGAACCUGUGUUUCACUGAGGUCAUCUCCUACCUAUCAGUGCUUUGAGCACAUAGCAGAAACGUAGGCUUGUGGCAUUAAAGUGAAUUACAGCACUAUGUCACCCUAGUAUAACAAAUCCACUUCUUUAAAGAAACAACCCACUUUUUGUAGUUAGGAAAAUGAAAGGGAAAUACACUGAAAAGUAUGGGGUGAAUGAAUAAUUAAUGGGAAGAUAUAUAAAUGCUGCACAAGCAAAUUAGGAUGAAUGGUCAGGAAAGCCCAGGCAUAGUCUAACCUCUGCAUAAUGUGCAAGCAAAUCAGGAUGAACAAAGCAUCCCCUUUUUGACGUACUCAGACAAUUCGUCAUUUUCGCCUUACCAAACCACAUCAAUGUGACAGAUUUGCUCUGUCCAGGGUAGAAGUCUAAGCAUUUUGUCUAUGUAGCAGGCUGUGAGCCUGGCAGUUAAGCUGCACCUUAGCUUUCCCUGAGACAGAUGCCAUGUCAAAGGAGAGAGAGCAGGGCUGGCUCCAGGAAUGCCGGGGCCCUUGGGCAUCAGCUUGCCCUGGGCCCCGGCAUGCAUGUGUGCACAUGCCCCCCACCUACCUGUCUCCUGUCUUUU